rnacentral:rRNA from 1 species
UGCUCUCGGGUGACGAGCGGCGGACGGGUGAGUAAUGUCUGGGAAACUGCCUGAUGGAGGGGGAUAACUACUGGAAACGGUAGCUAAUACCGCAUAACGUCGCAAGACCAAAGUGGGGGACCUUCGGGCCUCAUGCCAUCAGAUGUGCCCAGAUGGGAUUAGCUAGUAGGUGGGGUAACGGCUCACCUAGGCGACGAUCCCUAGCUGGUCUGAGAGGAUGACCAGCCACACUGGAACUGAGACACGGUCCAGACUCCUACGGGAGGCAGCAGUGGGGAAUAUUGCACAAUGGGCGCAAGCCUGAUGCAGCCAUGCCGCGUGUAUGAAGAAGGCCUUCGGGUUGUAAAGCACUUUCAGCGGGGAGGAAGGCGAUAAGGUUAAUAACCUUGUCGAUUGACGUUACCCGCAGAAGAAGCACCGGCUAACUCCGUGCCAGCAGCCGCGGUAAUACGGAGGGUGCAAGCGUUAAUCGGAAUUACUGGGCGUAAAGCGCACGCAGGCGGUCUGUCAAGUCGGAUGUGAAAUCCCCGGGCUCAACCUGGGAACUGCAUUCGAAACUGGCAGGCUAGAGUCUUGUAGAGGGGGGUAGAAUUCCAGGUGUAGCGGUGAAAUGCGUAGAGAUCUGGAGGAAUACCCGGUGGCGAAGGCGGCCCCCCUGGACAAAGACUGACGCUCAGGUGCGAAAGCGUGGGGAGCAAACAGGAUUAGAUACCCUGGUAGUCCACGCCGUAAACGAUGUCGAUUUGGAGGUUGUGCCCUUGAGGCGUGGCUUCCGGAGCUAACGCGUUAAAUCGACCGCCUGGGGAGUACGGCCGCAAGGUUAAAACUCAAAUGAAUUGACGGGGGCCCGCACAAGCGGUGGAGCAUGUGGUUUAAUUCGAUGCAACGCGAAGAACCUUACCUGGUCUUGACAUCCACAGAACUUAGCAGAGAUGCUUUGGUGCCUUCGGGAACUGUGAGACAGGUGCUGCAUGGCUGUCGUCAGCUCGUGUUGUGAAAUGUUGGGUUAAGUCCCGCAACGAGCGCAACCCUUAUCCUUUGUUGCCAGCGGUUCGGCCGGGAACUCAAAGGAGACUGCCAGUGAUAAACUGGAGGAAGGUGGGGAUGACGUCAAGUCAUCAUGGCCCUUACGACCAGGGCUACACACGUGCUACAAUGGCAUAUACAAAGAGAAGCGACCUCGCGAGAGCAAGCGGACCUCAUAAAGUAUGUCGUAGUCCGGAUUGGAGUCUGCAACUCGACUCCAUGAAGUCGGAAUCGCUAGUAAUCGUAGAUCAGAAUGCUACGGUGAAUACGUUCCCGGGCCUUGUACACACCGCCCGUCACACCAUGGGAGUGGGUUGCAAAAGAAGUAGGU